rnacentral:lncRNA from 1 species
CUACUACUGUACACAGAUCUACUAAUAUACCUACUACUGUACACAGGUCUACUAAUAUACCUACUAGUGUACACAGGUCUACUAAUAUACCUACUACUGUACACAGGUCUACUAAUAUACCUACUACUGUACACAGGUCUGCUAAUAUACCUACUACUGUACACAGAUCUACUGAUAUACCUACUGCUGUACAUACCAGUAUAACUAAUAUACCUACUACUGUACACAGGUCUACUAAUAUACCUACUACUGUACACAGAUCUACUAAUAUACCUACUACUGUACACAGGUCUACUAAUAUACCUACUACUGUACACAGGUCUACUAAUAUACCUACUACUGUACACAGAUC